rnacentral:lncRNA from 1 species
CGAAGGAACACUUUACAAAAGGGGGGCUCUGCUGAAAGGUUGGAAGCCCCGUUGGUUCGUGUUGGAUGUAACAAAACAUCAGGUAAUACUGUCAAAGCCUACAGAAAUCACUUUUCUCUAAGCCAGGCUCAGUCCCUGGCUGUUGUACAACUCUAAACAGACAGACACAUCCCUCAUGUUCAGACAAGGCCUCACAUAUGCUCCCUGUGGGCUUCUUCAAGGACUCAGCAUGUCCCUGAGUUAGGGCAGUAGCCUUCCGAGGGAAGGUCCAAAGUAGCUCUGCCUGAUAUAUACAGGCAGAGGCAGUGACACUGGGGCCCAGAGCAUUAAGAGCACUAGAACUCUGCUUUUCAUGCUCAAAUAUCUUCUGCUGCCUACUCUUAAAACCCAGGCCAGGAGAGGACCUGAGCUUUUCAGUGGGUUGCAUUCCACAUGCAUAUAUAGAGCCUGUGCUUGGGAGCAGUCCUCAGAAUACAGAUUACCUUCAUUUUUGCAGCAUAAAGCAUACAUUCAAAACUGAGGGCAUUAAUUUAUUUGACAAACAUUUAUUGCUCAUCAUGUACUGGUUACUAAAGAAAGCAUCAUUUUCCCUCAAAAUGAGAGCAACAGUGGAGAGAGGGGGCCCUGAAAUAGGCAGAAGGGGCUAUACCCACUCAAAGAGGGAAUUCUCACUGAGCAAGUACUAGCCUGAACCUCACUGGCCAUGUUGGGAAGUCCUUUGUCCAUUGUUAGGUUCUUAGCUAUUGCUACAGCAACCCCUGCAAUUCUUAGUAUCAUGAUCUUUGCUCCAGUAAUCUCAGGGGUGAGGGAUCCCUACCCAAACCUCCAGCCCCUCCAUACACUUCCAUGGUGACAUUCUCAUGGCCUCCAAAUAUUCUGACUGUGGACCUCACUCUACCUUGGAACUGACUGCUCAGCCUGAGGCAGAGGGGUACACAUCUUGAUUCUCAGUGCAUUCAUUUCUAAAAUGGACUCUGCUGAGAAAGAUACAAACUGGUACCCCUAUACAGUGCUCUGGUCGUACGUGCACCUAGGAAACUCUUUCCAGAUACAGAUUUGAAAUGGGGAUCACAUUUCCCUCUGCUCAGGGAAUUUCAUAAAAGUUACACAGUCUCUGUGGAAGAAUAUAGAGAAUUUAUUUACAAAUAUGCAAUGGAAGCCCUUGGUGGGGGGGGGGAAGGGGUUGUACUUUAAAAUAACAAUGUGUCUGAAAUCAUAGAGCCUACACUGUGGAGAAAAGUUCCAUUAAACCACUAAAUAUAACAUAGGACAAUGUCAUAAUUUUUCUGUAAUUUACAGUUACACCAAAUUAUACUUGCAUUCUUACGGAUCUUUUGGAUUUAACACGAAAGGUAUAUAGUUUUUCCAUUUAGACCUACUUAUACCAUGCCUGACUGGAGAGACAGAAAAGUCUGAGGCCAGAACCACAGUGACAGAGGCAUCAGACCCUUUCCUACUGUGUAAGUUAGAGAGUGAAAUCCAGACUCAUUUAGUUAGAGAGUGAUAUCCAGUCCUGGCAUGUGAUAACCACUCAGUCAAAUGGUGAGCUAUUUAUUGUUUUUCAAAAAUCAAUUUAAAUGUUUGUUUAUUUAUUUAUUUAUUUUGAGAGAGAGAUUGAGAGAGUGUGUGUGUGUGAGUGCAAGCAGCGAAGACGGACAGAGAGAGAGAGAGAGAGACAAUCUCAAGCAGGCUCCAUACAGUCAGCACGGAGCCCAAUGUGUGGCUUGACCCCACGAACCCAUGAGAUCAUGACCUGAGCUGAAAUCAAGAGUCAGACAUGUAACUGAGUGAGCCACCCGGGUGGUGCCCCUCAAAAAUCACUUUAGAUUUACAUGUGGUUUGGCAACUUGUAUUUUUUAUAUGGUAUAUCUUGAACAUACUUUCCUACCAGUUCAUAUAGAUCUUCCUUAUAAUUUUUGAAAAGCUAUAUACAGUAGUCUGUAUCAUUGAUAUAAUUAACCAUCAUUUAAUUAACCAACACCCCAAUGAAAGACAGAUACAUCUUUUCAGUUUUUACCUGAUCAAAACAGUGCUGAAGGAAACCUCUUUAUGUGUAUCUCUGCAUGCUUGUGGGAUUGUUUCUGUAGGAUACAUUUCUAGAGGUGAGAAGUUAUAUCAAUAGGCAUAAACAUUUUAAAUUUUAGAUGAUAUUGCCAAAUUGUCCAAAAAGUUUCUAACAAAUUAUAUUUCCACUAGCAAUGUUUGAGAAUACCUAGUGCCUUGCCCUCACCGUGAAUAUUUCUUAAUCUAAGUGAAAAGUGAAAUCUUACUGAUUACAUCCCUUUUCUUUCAUCAGUGAGGUUGCCCAUCUUUUUAAAUGUUUAUAGGUCUUUUGCAUUUCCUCUGUGACUUACCUGUUGAGAUUUUUUUGACCAUUUUUCUACUAAAUUGUUUAUCUUUUUCUUAUCAAUUUCUAGGAAUUCUGCAUAUUUUUCUAAACAACCUCUUUUAUAUGUUACAUAUAUUUUUUCCAAUUGUUAGCUGACAUUUAGUUUUAGUUUUUAACAUGUAAUACUUUUAUUCAUUCGAAUUUCAGAAAAAUAUGUCUUUUUCCUCCUUUCUGUCAGCCACCUAGUCCUCCUUCCGAAAAGCAACAGUGUUUUUAUUUUCUUGCUUAUUAUUUCAGACAGUUUAGCAAGGUACAGAGGCAAGUAUUCAAAUACAUUUUGAAAAGUCAUACCAUUUUCCUUUUCUGUGUCUCUUAUUUCCCAUCUGUAUCCUUUUGGUUCCAGCUGCGAUACUAUGACUCAGGUGAGGACACAAGCUGUAAAGGCCACAUUGAUCUGGCUGAAGUAGAAAUGGUCAUCCCUGCUGGCCCUAGCAUGGGAGCCCCAAAGCACACAAGUGACAAGGCUUUCUUUGAUGUAAGUUGAUCUCACUACAUCUCACUAGAAAACCUGGCUCUGUCUGUACAUGAUUCCUUACAAUCCAUCCACCUCCAAGAAUUAUAGGGCCUCAGAGCAAUUGGUGGUGACAGAUGAUAACCCCUUGGCUAUGGAAAUUGCUCCAGAACUUGAACUUAGCACUCGAUCCCCAAACCUGACAUCUCCAAACUGUCCAUCUCCAAGCUGUGGUGCGCUGCUUUGCACAAAGGACUCCUUUACUGGGUGUCCAGCCACACAUGGAAGCAGAUGAAUUCCUUGAUAAAAACAUUGUUAGUUAUUUUAUUCACCACCUAUUCAAGAACAGACACUACUUCCCUUUGGAUCCAGUGGUCUUCAUGUUUGACCAUCCAUAAAAAUUGUCCUUAGUCAUAUAUGAUGACUGUUGGUCCUAACAUCUUCAACAGCCCUUAGGUGAGCCUCAGGGCAUUUGAUGGGCCACAUGAUAGGGUUCUCACCCAGUUCCCAUAGCCAAGCAGGGUUUCAUAAAGAGCACAGCCACACUCAAGGGCUCUGCUCUGGCUAUGAGGCCAUUUACCUGAUUCCGGGCAUCCAGUGUGUCCCCAACUUAAGCCUUUAGAGAAGGGGAUGGAAACAGGACAAGAAAGACAACUUCUUGGUGGGGGUGAAUUUCCGGCUUCCCUGAGGAGCCCAGGGAGCUGCACUGCACUGCUCCCGGUGCAGUGCAUGGGAGAGGCUCCUGACCCUCCUCCUUAGGAGUAAGGGUCUCCUAGUAUGUCUCCUUUUUCUGCCAGUGUCAUUCUAUUAACAUCUACUGUGACUCUGGGGACCAAAGAAACAAAGUGACUAUAAUGGCAGUGACAGUAUGGUAGCGGAGGGAAGAGAAAACAUAGAGGUUUUGAAGCAGUACGGAGGGGAAGUUCACUGAGAUUGAUUCACACACUUGCCCAAAGCCAUAAAACAGGCCUGCCCUUCAUCUCUGCUUCUGUUCAUUUGGUUUUGUAGCUCAAGACCAGCAAACGUGUGUAUAACUUCUGUGCCCAGGAUGGACAGAGUGCCCAGCAGUGGAUGGACAGGAUCCAGAGCUGUAUCUCUGACGCCUGAUGCCCAUGGUCAACCCAAGCAAAAAAGAGGGAGGAAAGCCUCGUGCUGUCAGAUAGAAUAAAGUGCAUGAAUCCUUGAGGAGCUGACAGCUUCCUCUUUGGUUCUGAGGAGUCAUCCCAGGCCUGAGGUUCUUCUGCCCAGUCUUACCCAGUGCCCUCUUUGAACAAUUGCUAUGUCUGCUUAGCCUGAAUGAAUAUGUCACAGAGGUCUGGUCAAGAACCCCAGGCACUCCCUGUAUCUUGCACUAGGUUGUUCUAACAGGGUCUUAGUGGUUAGGGAUCAGAAGAAUGCUUCCUGAGCCAACUGUCACCCAUCCCCUAGAUAAAUGGUUUCUAUUUACUUGAGUCCUUCUUGAUGAAACUAGAUCCUUUUUAUUCCCCAAGGUCAUAAUUUCCUUGGAGAGCUUUCUGACAAGCAAAAAUCAAAACCCCGCCAACACUAUCUCAUGUUCUGCACAGAACAGAUUUCCCAGCAGAAUAGCUCCUACUCCUACUGCCUGACCUUAGAGAUGCUCAGCUAUCUGGUGCUGCCAAAAGGUGCUUCCAUAACCCCUGCUCGGCCAUGGGGGAUCACAGCAAGAACAUGAGUGCUCAGUGGCAGACGAGGAACACGCAGGAUUCUCCUGAAGGAGAAAGACGGUCCAGGGAAUGAUGCAACAAUGACAAGGCCAAUGCAGGAAAAUACUACUUUCAAAACACUGAAUUUUCUAGGCCACAGGUGCCCUGAGGAUCCAGGACUUUGUGUUCCUGUGUAUUCUUCUGUUCCCUGACAGCUCCUUACACAGAAUAACAUGCAAAAAGCUGAAUGCACUAACUCACAAACACUUGCACUGAACUCCUAAUGAAGUGAAGGUGUUGGAAAGACAGAAGCCAGCUGUCUACAAGCACAUUACACCUGUACCAGGGGCUGUGUCUGUGGCACAAUCAGAUACCCAAACAGCACUUGUGCACGUGAACAGUAAGAACUGUUUGUAGAUUUUCUCUACUUUUGAUAACCUUGUGUUUGUUCAGCUAAAGAUCCGAGGAAUGCUGUUUGUUCCCUGUGAGGAGCAGCAGCAUCUCUGCUACAGGCAUUGCAGCCCAACUGGAGUCAGAGGUAGCUAGAUCGCCGUUUUGAAAUGUUAAUAUGUUAAAUACCAAACUAAUAUUUCAAAAAUAUGUACAUACGAUUUCUAUAUCCUUGUUUUUCAGAUAGCCUACUUAUAAUUUAAUAUAAAAGUAACUGAUUCAUGCAUAAGAUUUCAGUAAUGAAAAUAGUUCCCUUUUUAAAAAAUAAAAAAAAAACCACUUUGUCUUUGUAGAUGAAAAAUAAAUCAGAUUUUCAAAUUUAAAAUUACCUACACGCUAGGAAAUAGACCUGUGUUAAUAUAUAAGAAAUUGGGGAUAAUAAGAAUGAAGGAUUUUUCUACCAUUUUCAUUUUAUAAAUUGCCACCUGUGAAAAUGAUUUUUGCACAUUAUUUGUAUUUUUUUCUUUGUAUAUGAAAUAAUUUUUUGUACUUUGUAAAAUACGGAGCCCAUUGUACCUUCAGCGAUUUGAGACUGUAUACAGUGCUUCUUUUAUAACUGGAUUCUUUUAACUUUCAUAAAGGUUAC